AAGAAAGGUAGCAGCUAAUGGUGAUCCUUAACAAAUACAAAUACAAGGCUCGGGAGAGGGAAAGAUCAAGUCAUGCGUCCCCAGAAACAUGAUGUGACAACACCCGCUCGCUUAACCCAGAAGCCAGCUGCACCAAUGUGUCGGAGGAAACAUCGUUCAUCCACAACAAGCCACAAACAUCGCCCGGCCAGCCACAAGGUGUCGCUAGAGCGCAAUGAGCCAAGUGAAGCCCCCCAACCGCCAAACCCGCCCCUAACCCGGAAGACGCUGGGCCAAUUGUGCACCACCCUAUAUGACUCCCGGUUACGGCCAGUUGUGACAAAGCCUGGGAUCGAACCACAGGCUGUAGUGAUGCCGCAACACUGCGAUGCAGUGUCUUAGACGGCUAUGUCACUCGGGAGGCCCAGCACAGACCUUUUUUUAUUUGCCUGUGCUACAAAUGCCUAUAUCAGUCUGCUAAUAAAGGACUAGUAAAGGUCCAGUGCACUACUUUUGCAGAAAAAAAUAAUGUAAAAAAUCUUUGUUAUUAUUUGUGAAUUUGUGAUUUUUCAGGGGGUGCUGCAUCACCCUCCGCACACCUACUUCCCACGGCUGUGAUGUGUUGUGUACAUCUGCAGGAUGUUUAUACUUAUGACUGCCUCUGUUUGCAGAAACAUCUCAGGAUACAGAAGUGGAACUGAGUGAGCUGAGAAUACAGGAAGCUGAUGUAGAUCAACAAAGCAGUAUUUGUGACUCUAUAUGACCUGAUGAUGUGAUCAAAUUGACAAAAUCAUAUCAGCUGUGUAACAUCUCUUUGUCUGCCCUUGAAUAAUAUCUAUUGAGGCAGAACGUUUAAUGUGAAAUGUAUAUCAACUGUAGCUGUUGAACACAACUUGGUUGCUUGCGUAAAUUAAUACAGUCAAGAAUGGAGAACUGCCUCAGUAAUUUAUUGAUCAGAAGAUGGCGGUAUUGUAACACACUGAAAGUAGCUAAAGAAAAUGGUUGCAACUGUUAAUGAACUCUGAUAGUGACUGAAUGGAAAGCAUUAGUCAUCAGGUGAAUGUUUCUUACCACAGGUGAUGCUAUACUAUGUUUGCUGUACUAAGUUUGUCCACGUCCAUGUUAUGUUAAAGACAUCCUCCAAAGAUUUUUUUUUACUUCUGCUGUUGAAAAGCAACAUUCCAAGUAUAAAUAUAGUAAAUUACACACAUCACAAAGGGUAAAAAAAAGUGUUUUUUUAGACACAUCUGCAAACUUCAAGAAGUAGGGAUUCAAGGAGCUGUUCUGAUGGUCAGGUUCCCUCUUGCUUGACGCACAAUAGAAGAGCAAUAGAGAACCAAAGAGGACCCACCGUGGUCUGACCACAUCCUGCUGGUCCUCUGUCUCCUCUUCCUGGUCUGACCACGGUUGGUUUGCUCUAACUGAGUGACACGAGCACUGAAGCUCAUUGUCAUUUAAAGCACCUAUAGCUAUAAUAUACUGUAACCCACUGGACCUCAUCAUCGUUAGUCAGCACCUCUACACUAAAUCAUAUUCUCUUGGUGUGCGCCAGCUCAGGUUUUUAUUAGACCCAUUUAAUACUGAAAACUUUUAUUGUGUACAAGGUUGAAAUACAGCAAACAUGUCACUUUAACUUUCUAAAAUAUCCACAUUAUUCAGGACAAAGAAGGUCAACAAAUAACGGCAUAAAGGAGCAGGCAGCACCAUGUCCAGACCUCUCCUCCUGCUCUAAGGGAACCUUUCCAUCAUCACCAUUCACACCAAACCCUGCCCACUCCGACAAUCUCUACAACAAUGGUCCCUAUGCCAAACACAUCAACAGGGCAUCGGCACACAGCCUCCUGAUGACAAACGGAACUCUGCCUUCCUCGGAUAUCACAGCUGGAGGUCAAGGGUCAAACCACCAGACCCCUAGAGAGUCCCCAAACCUCCCCAUAUCCCAACCCCCAGGAUGAAUGCUCAGAGAACGCAGCCAUCUGAGUCCAUUGAGCCCAUCGGCUCUGAAAGAGACCUCAUCCAGACCAUAACGGCAGAGUGCUGCUGACUGUUUAAGUUGUCUUCUUUGUUGGAUCUUCUCACUGAAAAAGAGGAAAGCUGAACAUAUUUUGUGGAUGAAAAUGUUACUCCUUGGGGGAUUCAUGUUUUUUUUUAUAUAUAUGUAACUCACACACACUCUUCCUGGUGUCAUGGAAAUGUUGAGCAGUGUGUUAACCGCAGUGCAGCAGUAUUUCAGAGAAUAAAAUGUGAUUUAAAGAUGGGGGGGGAUCGUGGUGAGACAGGUGGGCAAGGGUUAGAGCUAGAGAAUAUGUGCUUCUGAGUGUGAACCUUCCUUCACGUCACACCUCAGAGUUAGAGGAGCAAAAUAAUACCUGUUAGCAGUGUGUAUCACAAAGGUUAUCUCACACGUGAUGAUGAUAAACCAUCAUUUGUUAUUGACUAUCAAAAUAUAUAUUUUAAUGAAGAAACCACUGAGACACUUUGGUGAUUAUUAGUGAUGAUUUGGGGCUAUAACAGGGAAAAAUAACUCAUACCGAACAUUUUAUGUCCCUGUGUGUGACUAAGUGUGUGUGCGCCUGUGUCUAUAUGUCUGUAUAUGACUUACUCAGUAUGAGUGAGUGAGUGAGUGAGUGAGUGAG